CAACAAUGAAUCGUGUUGGGGCGUUGUGAUCCACACACUGGUGUCCUUCUGAGGGUUUUCACAGAAGAUUGGCGGAAAGCAUGAACAAGUGAUGACAACAUGGCCUCACUGUUCCUUCAUUUCUACCCUGAACUUUCAAAGAAUUCUCAGAUGAAAAGGCUGAGUUGUGAGACCGCGAAGGUUAGAGGACUAUCAUAAGCAGAGGUAGGCCAUAGUGAGCAGAGGCAGCAGGGUGAAGGGCACCAGGUAGAGCAGCGCUGGCUGAGCAGCACGAUGGAUCCUG